rnacentral:rRNA from 1 species
GUGCCAGCAGCCGCGGUAAUACGGAGGGUGCAAGCGUUACUCGGAAUCACUGGGCGUAAAGAGCGUGUAGGCGGGUAUAUAAGUCAGAAGUGAAAUCCAAUAGCUUAACUAUUGAACUGCUUUUGAAACUGUGUACCUAGAAUGUGGGAGAGGUAGAUGGAAUUUCUGGUGUAGGGGUAAAAUCCGUAGAGAUCAGAAGGAAUACCGAUUGCGAAGGCGAUCUACUGGAACAUUAUUGACGCUGAGACGCGAAAGCGUGGGGAGCAAACAGGAUUAGAUACCCUUGUAGUCC